rfam:Cephalotus follicularis DNA, scaffold: scaffold1917, isolate: St1.
UCUAAGGGACAAGUUAAUAUAAAAACUCUAAAGUUAAGCGUGCUCGGGCGAAAGUAAUUCUAUGAUGGGUGACCUCCUGGGAAGUUAAGUUGUGUUGUAA